rnacentral:lncRNA from 10 species
GAUUUCCUUGUCCACUGGCACAGAGCACACCCUGCCACAGUGCAAGCCUGAGAAGCAGUGAGGACCCCAUGAAGCUGAAGGACAGGCCGAUCCCCCGAUAGACGAUUAGAUCUGGCUGGAGCAGAUUCAGAAAACCUCUUAUCUCCCCCAGGCGGAUGAUGUGCCCACCGACCACAUCAGCCACGUGAGAUCCAGUGCGACAGUGGAGCAUGUGUGCGCAGAGGAGACAGGAACAACAACCGGGAUGUCAUGCGGGCGCACUGGGGCUCCUUGUGGCCCCAGUGCACAGAAUUCUGGUGGACCCACCAUGUGUGGGAGCUCAGUGAGACUCAAAGUAAGUGCAAGGCCCUCCUCACACAUCGUACGCUGAAGGUGGAGCACACUGGGAAAAUGUGCAUGCAUCAAGAAGAAAAAUGAAAACUGAUUUUGUGCAACAUUUCCACUGUUCUUGGAAGAAUGAAAUAAAUGCAUAUGAG